CUUAUUUGACCGAAGAUAAUACGUCGCUUUCUCUCUUUCCUGCAGGUCGAUACAUCACACGCGCUCAUAACCUUCUUUUCCUUUCCUUUUCUACUCUUCUUCUUCCUUCUAUUCUUCAACCUUCUGUAUGUAUUCCACUUCCAGCUAGGUUUCAAAAAAACCCAAAAGAUCCAUUAUGUAUCUCACUUUUUCUCUGAGAUUAGCUUUCACACGGAUCGACCUUCGAAUUUGGGUUCAUCUUUGCAUAUUAAUCUUGUGAUAGAGUCUAUAAAGCCCUACUACAUCAUACUCUCUCUUCUACUGGAUCUGGUUUUGUUUUUCUGGUUGUUGUUUAGUGAAGGAAGUUUUUCUGUUUUUUUUUCACGAAAUCAGGUUCGUCAAUUUCACCUUUCACCUAAUUUUUGGUUGAAUUUGAAUGUUUGUUUCACAUAUUAGGGCAAAAUUAGCAUAAUAGGAUUUUGGUUGAAUUUUUAGUAUAAUAUGUGUAUUUUUUGAAUUUUCGUUGAAUUUGAAUGUUUGUUUCGGUUAUUAGGGUAAAUUUAGGCAUUUAGCAUAAUAUGAUUUUGGUUGAACUUUGGUUGAAUAUCAAUGUUUUGUUCCAGUUAUUGUGGUUUCACUUUCAUAACCAUUUCAAUCCAUUUAUUCUGUUAGUACAGGGACUGAAAUGGUUACGAGGUGGACUGAAAUGGUUACGAAAUUGAAACCACAAGAACUGAAAUCGCAAUUUUUAAACUAAUGGACUGAAAUAGUGAUUUUUGACAAACCACAGGGACGAAAAUAGUAAUUUACUCUUUUAUUUUUGAAACAAAUUGCCGGUCACUUUUAAAGGUAAGUUUGAGUAAACUGUCAUUUUGGUCCCUGAGGUUUGGGUAGUUUUGCCACUUUAGUCUAAAUCUCAAACCUUUUGCA